AUGUUUUUUUUUUUUUACCCCUCCCCCUUUUUCAUCCCAACCAGCAAGAAAAAGAGAGGCAAGGCAAGUCCCCUGACCCUCUUCUUUUUCUUUCCUCUCUUUUCACUCCUCCUCCUCUUCUCCUCUUCUCCUCUCUGCAACCUUAAACUCUCCAUCGCUGAUUCAGCUCCCAGGGAAGGAAAGACUCCGCCUGCAGCGACUGCUUCACUCCGCACGGGCCAGCAUCCCUAUCUGGAUCACCUUUUGCUACGGUCCUCCUCAUCCACUCUCACUCACCUUUCGGGACCAGACUCAGACUAAAAUGCUUUGCUAAAGCUGGUAAAAUGGAACCAAAUCAACUGUUCAAUGGAUUUGGUCCCCUUCAACCAGCUGUAGCUGUGCAUUGAUCACUCCGAACACACACGCAGCCACAGAGGUGAAGGAAAGGAUAAUUCAGAUGAAAACUGCUUUAACAUGUAGAACUGAAGCUACGUUAGCUUCUCCACAGAAACCAGUGGACUGAGACACAGCAUGCUCCAGUUACUGCAUGGAUUUAUCUCCAUCACACACAUUAUCAGAAAGACAUUGAAGUUAUUUGCAAAAUCUGAAUAAAACAAGUCAGGUAAGAAAUGACAGAUACUGUACCUUUGAGUGAAUUUGUAUUUUUGUUGUGUACCGCUAUAAUUGCAUUAUCCUUUGGAGACUUUUUUAUUGUUCUUUGCAGAUUAUUUGAGGAGUGUGUUUGGUCCAUGAAUUGCUGUUGUGUGUGUGUGUGUGUGUGUGUGUGUGUGUGUGUGUGUGUGUGUGUAAAAGGGUGGUACAAGUGUAAGAACAGUCACUGUCUAAGAAAAGCAGUAGUGCGUAUUAGUGCACAUGUAUGUAUGUGUGUGACUCCUAAUGCACGUCUGAUCAAUAAAGCCUCGUCCUGAAGUUCACAUAAACUGCUGAAGUGGUCUUUGCUUUGAUGUGUGGUCUUACUGGGGGAGGUGGGGUGGGGGUGGAAUGGAAGGAAGUACACACUAAAAAUCACUUGGUUAAAAUUUUUGGGUCAAUAUAGAAUUGAU
rnacentral:lncRNA from 15 species